CCUACGGGAGGCAGCAGUUAAGAAUCUUGCGCAAUGGGGGAAACCCUGACGCAGCGACACCGCGUGGGGGAAGAAGGCCUCAGGGUUGUAAACCCCUUUUCUGUGGGAAGAGAUAGGACGGUACCACAGGAAUAAGCAUCGGCUAACUACGUGCCAGCAGCCGCGGUAAUACGUAGGAUGCAAGCGUUGUCCGGAUUUACUGGGCGUAAAGGGUGUGUAGGCGGCAUGUUAAGUCUCAUGUGAAAUCUCCCGGCUCAACUGGGAGGGGUCAUGGGAAACUGGCAAGCUGGAGGGCAGCAGAGGAAAGCGGAAUUCCGGGAGUAGUGGUGGAAUGCGUAGAUACCCGGAGGAACACCAGAGGCGAAGGCGGCUUUCUGGGCUGUACCUGACGCUGAGACACGAAAGCGUGGGGAGCGAACCGGAUUAGAUACCCGGGUAGUCCACGCCCUAAACGAUGGAUACUAGAUAUAGGGGGUAUUGACCCCUCCUGUGUCGGAGUUAACGCGAUAAGUAUCCCGCCUGGGGAGUACGGCCGCAAGGCUAAAACUCAAAGGAAUUGACGG
rnacentral:rRNA from 1 species